AUGUACUGAAAGUAUAGAAUGAAUUGUAUAGACAACAAAACUGGAAAAAUAUUUGUUGAUUUCUUAAUUUAGUCUGCGGUGAUUAAGUUCA